rnacentral:rRNA from 1 species
AGUGAACGCUGGCGGCAGGCCUAACACAUGCAAGUCGAGCGAGAAAGUGGUUUCGGCCAUAAGUAAAGCGGCAAACGGGUGAGUAACGCGUGGGAAUUUCCCUUCUAGUCUGGAAUAGCCCCGGGAAACUGGGAUAAAUACCGGAUAUUAUCUACGGAUGAAAGAUUUAUCGCUAGAAGAUAAGCCCGCGUUAGAUUAGCUAGUUGGUAAGGUAACGGCUUACCAAGGCUACGAUCUAUAGUUGGUCUGAGAGGAUGAUCAACCACACUGGAACUGAGACACGGUCCAGACUCCUACGGGAGGCAGCAGUGAGGAAUAUUGGACAAUGGGGGAAACCCUGAUCCAGCCAUGCCGCGUGAGUGAUGAAGGCCUUCGGGUUGUAAAACUCUUUUAGUGGAGAAAAUAAUGAUGGUAUCCACAGAAAAAGCCACGGCAAACUUCGUGCCAGCCGCCGCAGUAA